UUGAAAUAGAAAAAUAACACUAUAAAUUGCUCUUUCUUAUUUGCUUAUUUGUGAGAUAUUUUUAUCUGAGAGAUAAAAAUAUUAAGCAAAAAUUCUAAUUUUUCUCGUUUUAAUUUCAAAUUUAAAUGUCAAAAAAACUUCGCAAAAGAUGGGUAGAUAAAUGAAAAUAAAAAUGCAUAUAGAACGAACAAAUAAUACUCAAUCAUCAAUCAACCCCUAAGAAAAAAAUCCCCUUUAUUUCUUUUUCGGUAAUGUAACGAAUAAAAGUCUAUGUAAGUACAAUAUGGCUAAAAAAAGUAGUAGUAAUUAAAAAGAAAAUAAAGGAGCAAUAACGCCC
rnacentral:lncRNA from 1 species